AAGCGCGAAACCCACCACAAGAUGAGAUUUCUUUAAAGGGUCGUGGAAGAUGACCACGUUGAUAGGCUAUAGAUGUAAAGGCAGUAAUGUCAUAGUCGAGUAGUACUAAUAACCCGUAAGCUUAUGUAU
rnacentral:rRNA from 1 species